GACGAACGCUGGCGGCGUGCUUAACACAUGCAAGUCGAACGGUGAAGCGCUUGCCUUUUUGGUGGGUGUGGAUGAGUGGCGAACGGGUGAGUAACACGUGAGUAACCUGCCCUCUUCUUCUGGAUAACCUCAUGAAAGUGGGGCUAAUACGGGGUAUUCCGGGUCUGUCGCAUGGCGGGUUUGGGAAAGAUUGCGCCUUUGGGUGUUUUCGGUGGGGGAUGGGCUCGCAGCCUAUCAGCUUGUUGGUGGGGUGAUGGCCUACCAAGGCGGUGACGGGUAGCCGGCCUGAGAGGGUGGACGGCCACACUGGGACUGAGACACGGCCCAGACUCCUGCGGGAGGCAGCAGUGGGGAAUAUUGCACAAUGGGCGCAAGCCUGAUGCAGCGACGCCGCGUGAGGGAUGGAGGCCUUCGGGUUGUGAACCUCUUUCGCCAGUGAAGCAGGCCUGCUCCUGUGUGGGUGGGUUGACGGUAGCUGGAGAAGAAGCGCCGGCUAACUACGUG
rnacentral:rRNA from 1 species